UAUUCUGUAGCAAGGUUAACCGUAUAGGGGAGCCGGAGGGAAACCGAGUCUUAAUUGGGCGUUAAGUUGCAGGGUAUAGACCCGAAACCCGGUGAUCUAGCCAUGGGCAGGUUGAAGGUUGGGUAACACUAACUGGAGGACCGAACCGACUAAUGUUGAAAAAUUAGCGGAUGACCUGUGGCUGGGGGUGAAAGGCCAAUCAAACCGGGAGAUAGCUGGUUCUCCCCGAAAGCUAUUUAGGUAGCGCCUCGUGAAUUCAUCUCCGGGGGUAGAGCACUGUUUCGGCUAGGGGGCCAUCCCGGCUUACCAACCCGAUGCAAACUGCGAAUACCGGAGAAUGUUAUCACGGGAGACACACGGCGGGUGCUAACGUCCGUCGUGAAGAGGGAAACAACCCAGACCGCCAGCUAAGGUCCCAAAGUCAUGGUUAAGUGGGAAACGAUGUGGGAAGGCCCAGACAGCCAGG
rnacentral:rRNA from 1 species